rnacentral:rRNA from 1 species
AUGGCGUCGCGAUUGCUGACCAGAUCCAAAGCCCUAGCGCUCGCCGCCGCCCGCGCCGACGCGGCCGCGCCGUCGCCGCUCACCGCCGCCUGGGGCGCCCGCGCGCUCUCCGCCCUCCCCCGCGAUCCGGCGGCCGCAUCCCCCGCCUCGUCGCCGCGGCAGCCGGCGGUGGUCUCGCCGCUCGGCCUCUCCAAGAUUCUAGGAUAUGAGCAGGCCUCUCGACUCGGUGGCACACACGUAUUGCCUCGCUGGUUUUCUACUGGAGCCUCCAAUGGAUCUGAUCAGCAGACCUCAAAGACAGUUGCUGGGAUGGUACAAUCGGAUGCACUGAAAUCACAGGAGGGAGCCUCAGCGAAGGUCGCAGCAUUCAGCCCCAUUGAAGCAACCAUUAGCAAGCCCAGAAGCAGUCCAUUGACACUCGAAAGCUUGAAAGUGAGGCGGACUGAGAUGAUGACUAAAGUCACGUUCUACAUGAUCCCUACUCUGCUCCUGGUGUCGAAGAACAGCAUCAGCACUUCUCUCCUGAUCGCGUCAGUGUACCAUCAGGUCUACAUGUUCCACAAGGAGAUCCUCCUGGACUACGUCCACCACGACAUCACCAGGAAGUGGGCCUUGAUAUACUUCAAGCUGCUCUUGCUAGUCAUGGCCAAGGACACGAUGGUUUACUUUGAUCUGUUCUAA